rnacentral:sRNA from 1 species
AAUGGUCACUGGCUUAAUAUGAUUAACUUUUUUUUCCAUUCUCAUUUUACAGUUCCUGAUGAAUAUUUGUUAUCGCUGAAGUUUCUCUUUGGCUCAUCAGCCACCCAGGCCUUGGACCUAGUUGAUCGACAGUCCAUCACCUUAAUCUCAUCACCCAGUGGAAGGCGUGUUUACCAGGUACUUGGAAGUUCUGGUAAAACAUACACAUGUUUGGCUUCUUGUCAUUACUGUUCAUGUCCUGCAUUUGCCUUCUCAGUGCUACGGAAGAGUGACAGCAUCCUGUGCAAGCAUCUCUUGGCAGUUUACCUUAGUCAGGUCAUGAGGACCUGUCAGCAGCUAAGUGUCUCCGACAAGCAGUUGACUGACAUAUUAUUGAUGGAGAAGAAACAAGAAGCAUAAAAGGUACAGAUUGAGCAUCAUUCUUUCAAAAUAGAAUCCUGUCAAGAAUGCAUUUAAAACAUCAUGAUUCACACGGAAAAGAGGUGAAAUGGAUCUUCAGACACUUCAUGUUACUGUCCCU